CCCUUAGAUGUUCUGGGCGGCCCGCGCACUACAUUGGCACUAGCAAAGAGAUCCUAGAUUGAAUUCUUUGGGGUAUUCUUCUAAAUGGUGUCGUGACUGGGAUCAAUCCUUGUAAUUAUUGGUUUUGAACGAGGAAUUCCUUGUAAUCGCGGUUUAUCAGCUCGCGUUGAAUGCGUCCCUGCCCUUUGUACACACCGCCCGUCGCUCCUACCGAUGGAUCGUCCGGUGAAGCUCACGGAGUGACUGUUCACGCAACGGUUUACGAAGUGAAAUGGACCUCACGAUUUAGAGGAAGGAGAAGUCGUAACA
rnacentral:rRNA from 1 species